rnacentral:rRNA from 1 species
GUGUCAGCCGCCGCGGUAAGACGGACCGUACGAACGUUAUUCGGAAUUACUGGGCUUAAAGGGUGCGUAGGCGGCUCAGAAAGUUGAAUGUGAAAGCCCUCGGCUUAACCGAGGAAUUGCAUCCAAAACUACUGGGCUUGAGUGAGACAGAGGUGAGCGGAACUCACGGUGGAGCGGUGAAAUGCGUUGAUAUCGUGAGGAACACCGGUGGCGAAAGCGGCUCACUGGGUCUUUGCUGACGCUGAGGCACGAAAGCUAGGGUAGCGAACGGGAUUAGAUACCCGUGUAGUCC